ACGAAGGGUGCAAGCGUUACUCGGAAUUACUGGGCGUAAAGCGUGCGUAGGUGGUGGUUUAAGUCUGCUGUGAAAGCCCUGGGCUCAACCUGGGAAUCGCAGUGGAUACUGGGUCACUAGAGUGUGGUAGAGGGAUGCGGAAUUUCUGGUGUAGCAGUGAAAUGCGUAGAGAUCAGAAGGAACAUCCGUGGCGAAGGCGGCAUCCUGGGCCAUUACUGACGCUGAGGCGCGAAAGCUAGGGGAGCAAACGGGA
rnacentral:rRNA from 1 species